GCAGGUGGCUUCUCAUGAUCUGAUGACCUUCUGUGGACCAGAGAACCACGUACCAGUGACAGAUCCCAGGGAAGGGCUCCAGCUCCAUGGAGGACAGCAAGGGUCAUCGCCAUGCCAACCACCGGGAAUAGAAGGUGCCGAUUUGACAUUUCCCAGCCCCGAUGAAUCUAUGGAUUUGGAAAUAACCGGGUCCUCUCCAUAUAUACUGUGAUGUUAUCUCCCCCAAUGAAGGAAAUGGGAAACAGGAAAGGCCUAGAUUCCCUGCAGAUAGCUCUUAUGGUUUACAAUGAGAAUUCCAAUACUACGAAAAGCACUAGGCAAAAUUUAAAACACAAAUCAUUGGUGUUUAACGUGAUAUAUUGCGGAGAAAUUUCUGGCACUGGAAGUCUUUCUUUAAGCAACACUUCCACACAGCGCCAACUAAAUAAUGGAACAACAUCUGGACGCCUUCUAAAUCGAGUAUGAAAUUAUGUAUUUCUCCCAUGACACAGAUGAGACCAAAAGGCAACAUUUCCUAAAAUAAAAAAAAUGGAGGGCAAAUUAAGUAGUGGCUAA